rnacentral:lncRNA from 1 species
GAUGAGAAAAUCAAACCAAAUGGGUUCAAGAAUGAGUUGGUUGCUUUUCAGGAAGAAGAGAUCUAUGAACAAGAAGUUUCAGAAGUUUGCAGCUUGAGCGAAACUGUGUCAACUACGACCUUCAAUAAUGACAAAAGAGAUGAAGAAUAUGACGACGACGACGAUGGUCGAUAUGGUGAAGAAGUUAAGCAAAGAGUAAAAAGAUCUCCGGUAGUAAAAUUACCUCCAAGAAACCGUUCAGUUUCAGGCGAUUUUGGUCCUAAGCGAGACCGGAUUGUCGGAAAAUCACCCAACCGGAGAACCGAGCAGUCGCCGAACAAAAGAAACAAUGCUGGUGGUGGUGCCGG